UUAAGUUCAGCGGGUAUCCCUACCUGAUCCGAGGUCAACCACAGAGUUGGGGUUCUGGCAGGCCACCGCCGGGCGCUGGAGCGAGAGUUGUACUACGCUCAGAGCCAGGCGGCACCGCCACUGUCUUUAGGGCCGGCCGCGACGGGCAGGGCCCAACACCAAGCAGGGCUUGAGGGUUGAAAUGACGCUCGAACAGGCAU
rnacentral:misc_RNA from 1 species